ACUGUCACAGCUACGUAAGUGACGCUAGGAAGGGCUUUCUGGUUGCUGAUUCAGACCAGAAGGCCAAGACCCUCUGAACACCAGAUCUGAAGACAGCAAUCAGUGAAAGACAUUUUGAGACCUUUACAGUGUGAACUGGACUCCACCAUGCAAAUCAGAACUCUGUGAACCCUGGAAAGGCAUGCUCGUAACUUGGGACUUAAGUAUCCCUCCCUCUUCCUAACAACAGCAAACAAUUCUUUUGGAGCAAUGACCCACCCGCCUUCCCUCAGGGAAGCGAGGGAUAGAAGUCGUGCAGGUGAGUGAGACCACUUCUUCACAUUGCCCUGUGCUGAGCUAAGCGUGCACUUUGUCUUUGGGAGAGUUUGGGUGUCUGACUGCUGUACAUGGGCACCUGGAUUGUGAUACUCUCCCUCGCCUGGAGAUCUGACAUAGCUCCUGCCCCCACUGCGUGCAGACUUGCUGCUGGCUGUUCCUGUUUGGAAAGUUACAGUGGGUGACGAGUAGGAAGGGCAAUGGGUCCCGGAGGUCAAGACACUCCUAACACAAGUUGUGUUAGGAAGGAUGAAGGGACAGUACUGCCUAGGUGACUGUGCUGUCACCCUGUCCUCUGUGCUCAGCCUUGAGCUCGUUGGCUGGAAAAGAAGGAGGGAUGGAUGGAUAGAGGGAGGAGUGGUAGGUGGAAGAAGGGAAGGAGGGGGAGGGAAAAGCGAGUAUGGAUAGAAUGAAGGUGGGAGAAGAGAGAGUGGAGAGACGGCCCUGAGAUGGAUAUCCAGGCUCCAGCAGUGGCAUCUCAGAACGGUUGGCACGUUUGGCCUGUCUGCGAGAGCUUGGGCCUGGGAUUACCUGUGGAUAUUCUGGUAAGAGACACUGGCCCCCAUUGGUUAUGUCUUUCUGGUACAGUGGUAGAUGUGAACUCAGAUUAAUAGACUCAUAGUGAGGGGCAGGUUAUGACAUGUGCACCACAGCUGUGCCUGGUUUCCUGUGUCACCGUCCCUGCACAGGAUGAACCUGACUGUGUACCAAGCUGUCCACACUUGGAUUUACUCUGAUGGCUGAGUCUUCAUGCAUCUGCAGAGGGCUGCCUGGGAUGGGGACCAGGUCAAGGCGGAAGGCAGACAUCUGGAGGAAGUUUCCAGAAAGCCUGCUAGGGCAUACACCCUUCAGAGGUCUUUGUUGUUCAACUUCAGGAGGGCUCUACUUCGCAGCUGUAGGAAAGGGUUUCCUGAUGCAGGUGUGCACAUACCUGGCCAGCCCGAGAGCUUCCCGGUACCCUGACUGGGGGUGGACAGGAGCCUUGGAGCCAUUGUGUAGAGUGUGCCAGACAAAAGGGUUCUGAAAUCUCUCAAGAUGUGUCUGUUGUUCAUUUGGAUGACGGCUUGAGGGAGGAAGUGGUGUCUGGGCACGGAGUGAAGCCAAACUGAGCGCUUUCUACUCGGGCAUCUAAAAAUAAAGGCAAUGGCAAUGCCUGUCCCCACACCUCCUCCUGGCAUCCAGGAGAGUCGAGAGAGCUUCAGAUUGGAGGACACUGGGGGAGACUGCAGAAACUGGAAAGCAAAUCACUUGGCUGGAUUUUCAAAGUCGGUUCGGCUUUCGUUCACUCCAUCCCAGGAUGUGGGCUCCUGGAAGCUGGAAAUAGGCAGGGUGCCGGUCCCUGGGUGAGGCGUGAAUGAGUUAGAGAGUUAGGGGUGUAUGAGCCACCCCAGCAUCCACCAGAUCCUGAUUAUAUGGGAAGAGGUAUCUUUCUUGUAGAGAUGUGGAAACUGAGGCUCAAGAUGUUGUGGCCUUUUGGAGCGGUCAGCUGGUGGGUGGUGGGAUUAGGGCUGAGUUUGGGUUGGCUUGUUUACAGCAGUGUGGUCUCCUUUCUGUGUUAACAGAUGAUCCACUUACAAGAUACUCUCCCCCUAGCGUUGCGGGCCUUUCGCUGUUGUCUAAGUGGAUGUAGGACCUGGGUUCAGGACCUAAGCAUGAAUAACCCGGGGCAGAUCUUGCCCAUUUUUUCCAGGUCACGGAAGUCAUUUCUCUUCCUGUUACCUGUUAGCAACAGUGGCGGCAUCAGUGAUGGGCGUUUAUGUUACUGUGGUGUACCAGGAAGUGGCUGUUUAUAUUCUAAAGCUGAGCUGGUGUGAGCACAUGAUGCCCAGCCGUGAGAGCUGGCAGAUCCCUUCGUCUGCCCCAGCCAUUCCCGCCAGGGAAGUGUGUGGAGAUGAAGAACAAGGUGGCCUGGGCCGUGCCAGGAGCCUGCCAGUCUGCACAGUGAGAUCGUCAGCAGGCCUGUCCCAGGCUUUUGAGGACUGAGUCAGGUCAGGUAACGUGACUGGCACUGAGCCUGGCACACAGAGGCUGAUGAUCUGCAGAGCUGUACCUCGGUGUGGGACCAAAGAACACAGCCCUCAUCAUCAAGGAAGACAGCUGGUCAUGAUAACCCUGGGAGACAAUGACUGGAGGUAGUCCCAUGGUGCUGGUCACAAAACCAAAGGAGGACCGGCUCGAGUUAUCAGCUGGCUAGCACAUGGGUGGUGAAUUUGACAUUCAUCCCCUUACUUCCUUGAUUUUUUUAACACUUGUUUCUAUGAGAACUGAAAGCUGAAACAGAGUUAAAACUGUCUUAUUCUGUCAGUAGGGAGGACUCAUCUGCAGAUGCAGGAAAUGACUUUUUAAAAAAGUCCCAUGCGCCUAUUCAAAGUUUCCUCUCUAAUAAAGUUUUCUUCUUAUGC
ensembl:processed_transcript